CUGAUCAACUGAUUGGCAAGGCAUUGAUGCUCGGCAAUGUAUCAAGUGCAAACCAACUUCUUCGUGCAACCAUGCAAACUUCUAAUCUGGGCCACAUGAUCAACAUCCAAGGGGCAUGGGGGAUUGGGAUCAUCAAAUAGCUUGAUUUUCUUGGAGUUACCCCUAUCAUCAGAUAUUCAGAUUGCACAAGCACAUCUCAUGGUUCAACAAAUUUUGCGAUCGAUGAAAUCAAUGGACGCUUUGCGCAAGUACCCAUGCUGAGUUUAGAAGUCGAACCUGAUGACGCAAGGAAUGUCCGAGGGAUGUCUAACGCACAUCGCUGUUCCUACAGCAUCCCACGGCAAGUGCGAGGGCGGCAGAUCGCCGCUGCUGAAUCAUCGAGGUCGCAAAGCCAGCACUUGUCAAGUCUUCACGGAUGGCCUGCGCUGGUCUGCUGCCUGCGUUGCCUAAUGCCUAGCCUUGGCAUAAUGCUGUCUGUUCUCGAUUUCAGCUGUGCAGAAAACCUCUGUGCGGGCAGCAAGUAGGGGCACAAAAAGGCAUGCCAAAUUGGAGAUUGUAAUUGAUGUGAAUUUAGAGUGGAGUUCAGGAAUCGUGUGACUGAACGUUAAAUUGGAGAAUCGUGUGACUGAUGUGAAUUGGGAUUGUAACUUGUGAUUGUGCACUACCACCGGCUGUUAUCAAACUGCCAUACUGAAUUCUGUUAUCAAACUGGCAGCAUCAGUGAUAUGUUCUCAAAUUGAUCUGUUGUAAGAGCAAAUUUAAGUGUCAAAUAAGGAAUUUGCUCUUCGUUGUUUCUUCA